rnacentral:rRNA from 4 species
CCUUCCCCUUCGGGGGACAAAGUGACAGGUGGUGCAUGGUUGUCGUCAGCUCGUGUCGUGAGAUGUUGGGUUAAGUCCCGCAACGAGCGCAACCCUUAAGCUUAGUUGCCAUCAUUAAGUUGGGCACUCUAAGUUGACUGCCGGUGACAAACCGGAGGAAGGUGGGGAUGACGUCAAAUCAUCAUGCCCCUUAUGAUUUGGGCUACACACGUGCUACAAUGGACAAUACAAAGGGCAGCGAAACCGCGAGGUCAAGCAAAUCCCAUAAAGUUGUUCUCAGUUCGGAUUGUAGUCUGCAACUCGACUACAUGAAGCUGGAAUCGCUAGUAAUCGUAGAUCAGCAUGCUACGGUGAAUACGUUCCCGGGUCUUGUACACACCGCCCGUCACACCACGAGAGUUUGUAACACCCGAAGCCGGUGGAGUAACCUUUUAGGAGCUAGCCGUCGAAGGUGGGACAAAUGAUUGGGGUGAAGUCGUAACAAGGUAGCCGUAUCGGAAGGUGCGGCUGGAUCACCUCCUUUCUAAGGAUAUAUUCGGAAC